GAUGAACGCUGGCGGCGUGCCUAAUACAUGCAAGUCGAGCGAACGGACGAUAAGCUUGCUUCUCUGAUGUUAGCGGCGGACGGGUGAGUAACACGUGGAUCACCUACCUAUAAGACUGGGAUAACUUCGGGGAACCGGAGCUAAUACCGGAUGAUAUUUUGAACCGCAUGGAUCAAAAGUGCAAGACAGUCUUGCUGUCACUUAUAGAUGGAUCCGCGCUGCCUUAGCUAGUUGGUAAGGUAACGGCUCACCAAGGCAACGAUGCGUAGCCGAUCUGAGAGGAUGAUCAGCCACACUGGAACUGAGACACGGUCCAGACUCCUACUGGAGGCAGCAGUGGGGAAUAUUGGACAAUGGGCGCAAGCCUGAUCCAGCCAUACCGAGUGGGUGAAGAAGGCCUUCGGGUUGUACAGCCCUUUUGUUGGGAAAGAAAAGCAGCAGGUUAAUACCCCGCUGUUCUGACGGUACCCAAAGAAUAAGCACCGGCUAACUUCGUG
rnacentral:rRNA from 1 species